GACGAACGCUGGCGGCGUGCUUAACACAUGCAAGUCGAACGAUGAAGCUAGAGCUUGCUCUGGUGGAUUAGUGGCGAACGGGUGAGUAACACGUGAGUAACCUGCCCCGAACUCUGGGAUAACUGCUGGAAACGGUAGCUAAUACCGGAUAUGACCAAUGAAGGCAUCUUCUGUUGGUGGAAAGAAUUUCGGUUCGGGAUGGACUCGCGGGCUAUCAGCGUGUUGGUGAGGUAACGGCUCACCAAGGCGACGACGGGUAGCCGGCCUGAGAGGGUGAUCGGCCACACUGGGACUGAGACACGGCCCAGACUCCUACGGGAGGCAGCAGUGGGGAAUAUUGCACAAUGGGCGCAAGCUUGAUGCAGCGACGCCGCGUGAGGGAUGACGGCCUUCGGGUUGUAAACCUCUUUCAGCACCGACGAAGCGCAAGUGACGGUAGGUGCGGAAGAAGGACCGGCCAACUACGUGCCAGCCGCCGCGGUAA
rnacentral:rRNA from 1 species